rnacentral:lncRNA from 1 species
ACAGUCCACUCUAACUCUUCCUCAGGUCCUGUCUUUGGGUGGCAUUUGUGAGGGAUCCUCUCUUGUCAUUCCAGUCGGCCUCCAGCAAGCCAGGAGGAACACUACGUGCUCUCAAUGCCCAAUUCGCAGUUCUGCUACAUUGUUCAUGAACCCAGUGAAAGAUGUUCACAGUGGUAAGUAACACUUUAUUUCAGGAAGAAAAAACGCAGCGUGACUUCCUUGAGUAAGUAACAGAAUCAGUGUGUGGUGCACUG